ACAAGCAUAUGAAGCCUCCUAGUCAGCUCACCAGGAGAUCUGCUAGCAAGAACCACCACUUGAACUACUAUCUUAAAGAUAAAACUGGAACUAUUUGAGGAUGGCAAGGUUGGCCUGGUUCAGCAGCUACCAGCUGCACAGCCAAGUUUGCACAGCUUCAGAACAGAGGGUUGGGGAGGGAGGAGUAAGGACCUGCAACAAAAGGGAGUCCCUGGAGAAAGCAGUUGUCAUCUGAGAGUACCAACAUAGGAAAGGGCUGAGGGAGCCAUUGCUGGAGACCUACCAUGAGAAGGUUUUGAAAAAGAAAAGUAGAUACCAACAUCUGCAGAAGGGCAGAAAGUGUACAUCUGGUGAGUGAGGUGCUACAUGGAAGAUAGAUGAGGCCCAGAAAAACAGCGUCAGCACCAGCUGCAUACAGGAGCCUCAAGGUCCAGUAGCUGCAGAAAGGAGAAGCACCAGACCCAACUGCAUAGAACAGGAACAUUAAAGAAAGACAUUCCCAGAGCACAAUAGUAUGAUUGUCAUCUAUGCCAACAGAAGCCAAGCGUUUGCCAUCCGCUAGAAAAGGAAAUGUAUGACCCCGCUCACGACAGGUGGAUCG